AUUGAACGCUGGCGGCAGGCCUAACACAUGCAAGUCGAACGAGUGGCGGACGGGUGAGUAAUGUAUGGGAAACUGCCUGGUGGAGGGGGAUAACUACUGGAAACGGUAGCUAAUACCGCAUACCAUCAGAUGUGCCCAGAUGGGAUUAGCUUGUUGGUGGGGUAACGGCUCACCAAGGCAACGAUCCCUAGCUGGUCUGAGAGGAUGACGAGCGACACUGGAACUGAGCCACGGUCCAGACUCCUACGGGAGGCAGCAGUGGGGAAUAUUGCACAAUGGGCGAAAGCCUGAUUCAGCCAUGCCGCGUGUAUGAAGAAGGCCUUCGGGUUGUAAAGUACUUGCAGCGGGGAGGCGUUACCCGCAGAAGAAGCACCGGCUAACUCCGUGCCAGCAGCCGCGGUAAUUC
rnacentral:rRNA from 1 species